CAGUUCUAACGGAAUGGUAAGUGAUCAGGCACAGGAAGUGGUUUGGAACCCAUCAGUAACUAAGUGUAAACGAAACUGUUUGGUUGUAAAUUUACGCUCGAUAUCAGUGCCCAUUCUAAAGCAGAAGAGUUUUUUCGGCUAAAUUCCUUUCAUCGCCCAUGGAGAACUACAGAGGUCCAGCUUUCAGGCAACUAUCCCAAGCCUCCAACGAAUCAAUGGAAGAUCUCAAUAGCAUGGAGGACUGCUAUCAAAGCCCUGCUUGCCAAGUGUGGCGAUUUAUCGCCAUUCUUACCAUUUGCAUUUCCACACUGGGUCUGGUUUUCGCCUUCUGGACCAUGGCGCCCACUUUCCAGCAAUUGAAAGGACUGCUAAAAGCGCCAGUGAUCGAAUAGCAAAACGCUUCAGUCGUUUUGGAUUAGUGUAUUCAAUAUUGGUUAUAAAAAAUAAUACCACUGUUUAAACAA